AACUCCGCCCACUUCUGUCUUGUUUUGACAGGUGGUCUAGCACACUGCUUCUGAUUUUUCCCGGUCUUUUAUUAACAAAAAUUGUGUUCUGUUUUCGUCUGGGUGAUGUUUUACGGCUUUAAUUUCCGUGACUGAGUGUGGAGUUCAUAUUAAGCUGUUUAUUAAAAAGGAAUGACGCAGGGACGAACACCAUUUCCUAUGAUCAUUUCACAACACAGCAGUAAGUACUUUAAAUGAUCUCAACUUACACGUCAUAGGCUUUUAUAGAACAUGUCGAACCUUGUCACACCUUUAUUCAAGCGACCCACCAGAUAUUGCAAAUAUCCUUCUUGUAAAAGCAGCUAUUAUGUAAUCCGACUAUCCAGUGAAUGUUCUAACCUCAAAUUUCACAGAUUCCCCAAAGAUCCUGAAACACUUUCGAUUUGGAAAAGUGUGUGUAAAAUUCCGGAAUCUGCUAAUUGUAACAAUUUUUACCUUUGCCAGAAACAUUUCAGACCUUAUAAUUAUACAAAUCAGUUGUGUCAGCGACUUAAAUACAAAACAAUACCCAAUGUUGAUGUUUCUAAUAAUAAUUCUAUAUCUGACCAUGAAAUGUCUAAUAUUCAUUCAGUUGGUUCUGUUGUCUUUGAUGAGUCAGCGAUAAAGCCGUCAUGUUCAUUAUUCACACAGAACACAGAUAUUACACAAUCAUAUUCCUACAGUCAAACAUGCCACAUUGCUACACCACCUUAUAGCUCAGCUGAAAAUGCUGAAAGGUUGUUUGUAAUUUUUCAUGAUCAUGAUUAUGUUACAAAUAGUAAUGAUAUGGUGAAGUUUCGUGUUGAAUUAGGUGUUAAAUUAGAUUUAAUAGGCCCAGAUGGUUCCGCACCUCUUACUAAAGCGGUAAAAAUGGAGAAUUUUCAGUUGGUUAAAUAUUGUAUAGAGAAAGGAGACAAUGUUUACGUUCCUAACAAUGAUAGUCCUAUAUCUGCCCAUGAAAUUUCUCGCCUUGAUCAGGAUGGUUUUGUUGCCUUUGAUGAGUCUGUGAUAAAGCCUUCGUGUUCAUUAUUCACACAGAAUACAGACAUUGCUACACCACCUCACAGCUUAGCUGAAAAUGCUGAUAGGUUAUUUGUAAUUUUUCGUGAUCAUGAUUACUGUAAGGACGUUCCACACACUUUUUCCACAUGCUGUACUUACAACAGUUGAUCACUCUGGUUCUUUAAUUCCUGUCAGCAAGAAAGAAUAAUGGUGUUUUAAAUUCAGGAAGUUUGAAUAGAAAAGAUUUAACACCACAAAGUUAAUAAUUUUCCAGAUUGACAAAUACCUGCUUGUUGCCAGAGCAGAUUCUUAGAUUGUGAUAACAGAGCCUGACGGUGUUCAAAUUUAUUUGAAAAUGACGAGGAAGAACGAGGAUAAUGCGAUAGGUACUGGACAGGAACAAGCUUCUACAAAAUAAACAUACAAAAUAUAUUGAUGAAUUCAUAACAUUCUAUACCGGAAUAUUUUUUUAACUCAACAUAUGAAAAAUGUAUUUCUUAUUAUUUACAUGAUGUGCUAUUUGUUCAUAAUAU